UACGUAUGGGGCAAGCGUUGUUCGGAAUUAUUGGGCGUAAAGGGCACGCAGGCGGAUUGGUAAGUUGGAUGUUUAAGCGUCAGGCUCAACCUGAUAACGGCAUCCAAAACUGCCUUUCUAGAGUCCUGGAGAGGAAAGCGGAAUUCUCGGUGUAGCGGUGGAAUGCGUAGAUAUCGAGAGGAACAUCAAUGGCGAAGGCAGCUUUCUGGACAGAGACUGACGCUCAGGCACGAAAGCGUGGGGAGCAAACAGG
rnacentral:rRNA from 1 species